UACGGAGGAUCCAAGCGUUAUCCGGAUUUAUUGGGUUUAAAGGGUGCGUAGGCGGCCUGUUAAGUCAGGGGUGAAAGACGGUAGCUCAACUAUCGCAGUGCCCUUGAUACUGAUGGGCUUGAAUGGACUAGAGGUAGGCGGAAUGAGACAAGUAGCGGUGAAAUGCAUAGAUAUGUCUCAGAACACCGAUUGCGAAGGCAGCUUACUAUGGCCUUAUUGACGCUGAGGCACGAAAGCGUGGGGAUCAAACAGG
rnacentral:rRNA from 1 species